CGCAUACAAUCCCGCUCGCAUCCUUUCUCACGUAUCCACACGUUCACGUUCGGUUUCCCCGUCCGAGAAGGUGCCUCUCCCCACGAUCCCAUCGGAAGCCCACGCACGCACGUACUCUUGCACCCUCGUGCCUCUUCCUAGGAUGCACCCCCAAUCUCCUCACCCCUCCCAUUCUCCUUUCCAUGUUGCCGCGGCUGGUCUCCUCUACCACUCCCGUUUUGCACCCCAUGUCGCCGGAACGACCACCACAUCACGGGCGCCGCCGCUUCUCCCCUGGUGGCAACACAACAACUGCUCCGCGGGCCGUUGCGGCACCGGCGGCUUAUGCUGGUUCUGGGUACGGGCGUCGCCGCCUUCGCCGGUGUUCUGCCAACGAGUAUCCGGCGCGCCGGCGUUGUCCCCUCUGCGUGCGCCGAUCUGAACGAAAGGCGACACAUCGGGGAAGCGGCGGCUUUCACUUCCGCUGACAAAACCUUAUCGGCUGAGGGGCGACGGCUCAACAACGGCACGAUCUCUUUCGACCAGCGGUAGGAUGAUGAAAUCCCUCCCGCUCAUGCUUCUAAGAUUGAUCUGGUUUACUUUCACGGGUGUUUUUGUUUUGCAGGAGAGGCUGAGACAAAAGGCAGCUGGAGUUAGUGCGCGUGUCCUGGGAACGUCAGGAUCCACCUCCCGUUUGAGAUGGCGCUCUAGAUAGGCAUCCUAUGUCACAUCUCGGCAGUCAAGGAUCACUGAGAUGGACAUUGUUAGGAAUCCUCGAGGGCACCAACAAAACAAGCAAACACUAAUAUCAAAUUUGAUAAUGAGAGGAUUAGCUAGAUAUCAAGAUGGAAGUAGAAAAUGAAUCGAGGCACUACUAUCUCUGUCUUGAGACCUGCAAGCCCAUGCAGCCUGGUGUCCCUGACGCGGCUGCACCCUCUUGUGGGCGUCGACAUCCGCUUCGGCCCCUCCGGCUGCGCAGCUUGCCACUGUGUUUCUUAGAGUUCUGACUGCCGUUGCUUCUCAUGGGGUCAAAAUGAGGUAUAAGUACGAGUUGAUGCUUAAUUUUGUUACGUUUCGUACUUAACACUGUUAUUUUUAGCAGAAGGGGCAGCUGGGGUAUGGCCGCAUGUCAACUCUCUUGCGUAACCUGCCAACUGUAGUUUCAGAAAUAUCAAAGUAGGAGAAUCGUCUGCAUUUCCCUUCAUUUUAAUUUUGUAAACAAUUGUGUAUGGUAUUGCUUAAUCCAUGAAUACAUAGCAUCCAACAUACUUGAACUGAAUAGUCCAACAACAUUUACAUGUUUCUAAAUGUGAAUUAGCAGUUGCCAGUUCUGCAGAUACACCAUAAUUACAGCAGGUCCUGGAAUAAAUCAUACGAUCAAAUCCUCUACAGGAAGUCUUGGCUAAGGUAAAAAUGUCAUGCGUGCUAGAAUAUUUACUUCUCAUAAGUUUCGUUAACAUACAAUUUACUACGUGAAUUAUUUGAUCUACCAUGCAAGAUAGACACCAUGACUAUCAGACUGUGUGUCUCAAUAGCAAGAGUAUCCGCCAAGUAAGCAUCUUUAUUUCACCCAGCUCCCAAUGUUGAAGUUAAAAAUUUUGUUUCAACCACGACUUGUAUGGCCCUUAUUUGUUGUCAACAUAUUGUGCAGAAGUGCACUCUUAUAAGCUGUGUUAUGGUUGAUGUUCAUGCUUACUUCAGGUCAUAAAAGGUCGUGGGAAUGACUCUACACUUUGGGAAACUCUAUUCUUUUUUAUCAUCAAUCUAUGAAUCAAAUGGUUGGACAUUGUGGAUUUAGAUUGUUUUCUUUGCUUUCUCGUCACUAGGUUAUGAUGGAGGUUAAAUAGACCUGGAGGCAGAUGAAGGUGAAGCCCGUGGUGUCUUCUAUGCAAACACUCCCAUUGCCAAUGUAGGAGUAGACAAGGCGAAGCUGACAAAGCGCACGAAGUGCGACACGUGUUGUAGAAAAUGUUGGAAUCGUUAGGAGCAGUAGCAGCAGGGGGAACCAAAUUUACUACAGAUCAGCAAAUGCGGGGACUUACUUCUGUGUUGUACUGCGAGCCUGCACCGGCAUACACUUACUUCAUGUUAUUCUGAGAUUGUUCUCUGGUACAACUAUUUCUCUUGGACGAGAGCUCUAUACUUAGCCUUCCUAUGGGGUUGCCCUUCUAUGUGAGGGCUAUCUGUGGGAAAUCGUAUGGCUCAUUUGUUUUAUAAUUUUAUCCAUAUGGAAAUUCAAGAACAAUUGUU